AAGGAUUGGAAAAGAAUCUACAUAGAAGCUAAGGAUCUGAAAGUAUCAGCAUCAGUAAAGGAAACUUGAACCCUUGGAAUGUCUUUGUGUACCCUCUGGUGUGUUUAUGCCCAACCUUGUGUGAAGACCACAGCUCCAUACCACACUGUGGACUUGGCAGUCCAGUUAAAAUGAAUCAACAGAAACUAUGUGAAUGCUGUUGCAACUGCAAGCCAUAUUACGUAAUCUCCUAUUUCACCCUAAAACAGAAAAAAACACAGUCCAGCCCCUUUCCUGGGGAGAUGGUAACCAUAUUCUGUUCAUAACCCUCAUGUGAAUCCACUGCCCAUUGGUGAUGAAAGUGAAUAAAGAGAACCUGGGAUCACUUCCGAGGCCCUGAGACCACAGCACUGGUUUGGAUUGUUACUCUGGACAUGGAUGAGAAAAGUGCAUGGGACAUCAAGCUCACCUUCUUUACUUGUAUCAAAUGAUGACCAGUGUACUGAUCUUCCAUUCCUUUGCUUGUGGAAGAAGAUUGGCGUAAAUAAAUUAACUAACUAACUUAGAUUGGUCGCAGGAAAGAAAAGCCCAAGAAACCAACCAAACAAAAAACCCAGUAGAGAGCCAGCUGGUAGGGGACUAGCUGUGUUUCCAAUUUGCUUCACUUUAAUAUUUUUAAGCUUCCCUAGGCCUUAUUGUCUUCAUCUAUAAUAUGAGGGAUUUAAUUUUUUUAAAUAUACUUUAAAAAUUGAUUGUAACAUACAUUGAGUGAAUAAGCAAAUCAUAUGAUGAAUAUUAUUUGCCCCCCAGGAUCGACCUUUGUUCCCCUUCCCUUAUUAACCCCCAAAGGUAACCACUAACCUGACUUACAACAUCAUAGAUGAGUUUUUGCCAGUUUUUGAAUUUAUAUAAAUAGCAUCAUACAUU